rnacentral:rRNA from 1 species
GGGUUGUGAGGUUAAGCGACUAAGCGUACACGGUGGAUGCCCUGGCAGUCAGAGGCGAUGAAGGGCGUGCUAAUCUGCGAUAAGCGCCGGUAAGGUGAUAUGAACCGUUAUAACCGGCGAUACCCGAAUGGGGAAACCCAGUGUGUUUCGACACACUAUCAUUAACUGAAUCCAUAGGUUAAUGAGGCGAACCGGGGGAACUGAAACAUCUAAGUACCCCGAGGAAAAGAAAUCAACCGAGAUUCCCCCAGUAGCGGCGAGCGAACGGGGAGGAGCCCAGAGCCUGAAUCAGCAUGUGUGUUAGUGGAAGCGUCUGGAAAGGCGCGCGAUACAGGGUGACAGCCCCGUACACAAAAGCGCAUGUGCUGUGAGCUCGAUGAGUAGGGCGGGACACGUGGUAUCCUGUCUGAAUAUGGGGGGACCAUCCUCCAAGGCUAAAUACUCCUGACUGACCGAUAGUGAACCAGUACCGUGAGGGAAAGGCGAAAAGAACCCCGGCGAGGGGAGUGAAAAAGAACCUGAAACCGUGUACGUACAAGCAGUGGGAGCCCCACCACUAAGCCAGUGGUGAACUCCACAUACGCAUCCUUUGCUGAGGAUACGGUUAACGGAGCGAAAGCGACGUUCAACCUCAAAAGAAGCAGAGGGGGCUUAGUGGUGGGGUGACUGCGUACCUUUUGUAUAAUGGGUCAGCGACUUAUAUUCUGUAGCAAGGUUAACCGAAUAGGGGAGCCGGAGGGAAACCGAGUCUUAAUUGGGCGUUAAGUUGCAGGGUAUAGACCCGAAACCCGGUGAUCUAGCCAUGGGCAGGUUGAAGGUUGGGUAACACUAACUGGAGGACCGAACCGACUAAUGUUGAAAAAUUAGCGGAUGACCUGUGGCUGGGGGUGAAAGGCCAAUCAAACCGGGAGAUAGCUGGUUCUCCCCGAAAGCUAUUUAGGUAGCGCCUCGUGAAUUCAUCUCCGGGGGUAGAGCACUGUUUCGGCUAGGGGGCCAUCCCGGCUUACCAACCCGAUGCAAACUGCGAAUACCGGAGAAUGUUAUCACGGGAGACACACGGCGGGUGCUAACGUCCGUCGUGAAGAGGGAAACAACCCAGACCGCCAGCUAAGGUCCCAAAGUCAUGGUUAAGUGGGAAACGAUGUGGGAAGGCCCAGACAGCCAGGAUGUUGGCUUAGAAGCAGCCAUCAUUUAAAGAAAGCGUAAUAGCUCACUGGUCGAGUCGGCCUGCGCGGAAGAUGUAACGGGGCUAAACCAUGCACCGAAGCUGCGGCAGCGAACGUAUCACUUAAAGCGAUUCAGCGGAUGACGAUUGACGGAGCGAAGCGACGUCAAAGCGUAUACAAAGUCGAGUCGGUUUAAGGAUACGUUCGUUGGGUAGGGGAGCGUUCUGUAAGCCUGCGAAGGUGGCCUGUGAGGGUUGCUGGAGGUAUCAGAAGUGCGAAUGCUGACAUAAGUAACGAUAAAGCGGGUGAAAAGCCCGCUCGCCGGAAGACCAAGGGUUCCUGUCCAACGUUAAUCGGGGCAGGGUGAGUCGACCCCUAAGGCGAGGCCGAAAGGCGUAGUCGAUGGGAAACGGGUUAAUAUUCCCGUACUUGGUGUUACUGCGAAGGGGGGACGGAGAAGGCUAUGUUGGCCGGGCGACGGUUGUCCCGGUUUAAGCGUGUAGGUGUGUGUUCCAGGUAAAUCCGGUUCACUUUAACACUGAGGCGUGAUGACGAGGCACUACGGUGCUGAAGCAACAAAUGCCCUGCUUCCAGGAAAAGCCUCUAAGCAUCAGGUAACAUCAAAUCGUACCCCAAACCGACACAGGUGGUCAGGUAGAGAAUACCAAGGCGCUUGAGAGAACUCGGGUGAAGGAACUAGGCAAAAUGGUGCCGUAACUUCGGGAGAAGGCACGCUGACACGUAGGUGAAGUGAUUUACUCAUGGAGCUGAAGUCAGUCGAAGAUACCAGCUGGCUGCAACUGUUUAUUAAAAACACAGCACUGUGCAAACACGAAAGUGGACGUAUACGGUGUGACGCCUGCCCGGUGCCGGAAGGUUAAUUGAUGGGGUCAGCGCAAGCGAAGCUCCUGAUCGAAGCCCCGGUAAACGGCGGCCGUAACUAUAACGGUCCUAAGGUAGCGAAAUUCCUUGUCGGGUAAGUUCCGACCUGCACGAAUGGCGUAAUGAUGGCCAGGCUGUCUCCACCCGAGACUCAGUGAAAUUGAACUCGCUGUGAAGAUGCAGUGUACCCGCGGCAAGACGGAAAGACCCCGUGAACCUUUACUAUAGCUUGACACUGAACAUUGAGCCUUGAUGUGUAGGAUAGGUGGGAGGCUUUGAAGUGUGGACGCCAGUCUGCAUGGAGCCGACCUUGAAAUACCACCCUUUAAUGUUUGAUGUUCUAACGUGGACCCGUGAUCCGGGUUGCGGACAGUGUCUGGUGGGUAGUUUGACUGGGGCGGUCUCCUCCUAAAGAGUAACGGAGGAGCACGAAGGUUGGCUAAUCCUGGUCGGACAUCAGGAGGUUAGUGCAAUGGCAUAAGCCAGCUUGACUGCGAGCGUGACGGCGCGAGCAGGUGCGAAAGCAGGUCAUAGUGAUCCGGUGGUUCUGAAUGGAAGGGCCAUCGCUCAACGGAUAAAAGGUACUCCGGGGAUAACAGGCUGAUACCGCCCAAGAGUUCAUAUCGACGGCGGUGUUUGGCACCUCGAUGUCGGCUCAUCACAUCCUGGGGCUGAAGUAGGUCCCAAGGGUAUGGCUGUUCGCCAUUUAAAGUGGUACGCGAGCUGGGUUUAGAACGUCGUGAGACAGUUCGGUCCCUAUCUGCCGUGGGCGCUGGAGAACUGAGGGGGGCUGCUCCUAGUACGAGAGGACCGGAGUGGACGCAUCACUGGUGUUCGGGUUGUCAUGCCAAUGGCACUGCCCGGUAGCUAAAUGCGGAAGAGAUAAGUGCUGAAAGCAUCUAAGCACGAAACUUGCCCCGAGAUGAGUUCUCCCUGAGACUUAGAGUCUCCUGAAGGAACGUUGAAGACGACGACGUUGAUAGGCCGGGUGUGUAAGCGCAGCGAUGCGUUGAGCUAACCGGUACUAAUGAACCGUGAGGCUUAACCUUACAACGCCGAAG